rnacentral:rRNA from 1 species
CAUCCAGACUCCUACGGGAGGCAGCAGUCGGGAAUAUUGCACAAUGGAGGAAACUCUGAUGCAGUGACGCCGCGUGCAGGAAGAAGGUUUUCGGAUUGUAAACUGCUUUAGACAGGGAAGAAACAAGACAGUACCUGUAGAAUAAGCUCCGGCUAACUACGUGCCAGCAGCCGCGGUAAUACGUAGGGAGCAAGCGUUAUCCGGAUUUAUUGGGUGUAAAGGGCGCGUAGACGGGAAUUUAAGUUAGUUGUGAAAUCCCUCGGCUUAACUGAGGAACUGCAACUAAAACUGGAUUUCUUGAGUGCGGGAGAGGAAAGGGGAAUUCCUAGUGUAGCGGUGAAAUGCGUAGAUAUUAGGAGGAACACCAGUGGCGAAGGCGACUUUCUGGACCGUAACUGACGUUGAGGCACGAAAGUGUGGGGAGCAAACAGGAUUAGAUACCCG